AUCAGAUGGUAAAGAAUCUGCCUGCAAUGCAGGAGACCUAGGUUCGAUUCCUAG
rnacentral:tRNA from 1 species